CCUGCGGAGGGAUCAUUACUGAGUUUACGCUCUAUAACCCUUUGUGAACAUACCUAUAACUGUUGCUUCGGCGGGUAGGGUCUCCGUGACCCUCCCGGCCUCCCGCCCCCGGGCGGGUCGGCGCCCGCCGGAGGAUAACCAAACUCUGAUUUAACGACGUUUCUUCUGAGUGGUACAAGCAAAUAAUCAAAACUUUUAACAACGGAUCUCUUGGUUCUGGCAUCGAUGAAGAACGCAGCGAAAUGCGAUAAGUAAUGUGAAUUGCAGAAUUCAGUGAAUCAUCGAAUCUUUGAACGCACAUUGCGCCCGCCAGCAUUCUGGCGGGCAUGCCUGUUCGAGCGUCAUUUCAACCCUCAAGCUCUGCUUGGUGUUGGGGCCCUACAGCUGAUGUAGGCCCUCAAAGGUAGUGGCGGACCCUCCCGGAGCCUCCUUUGCGUAGUAACUUUACGUCUCGCACUGGGAUCCGGAGGGACUCUUGCCGUAAAACCCCCCAAUUUCCAAAGGUUGACCUCGGAUCAGGUAGGAAUACCCGCUGAACUUAAGCAUAUCAAUAA
rnacentral:rRNA from 1 species